rnacentral:rRNA from 8 species
CGCGGCGACGCCGGCGGUUCGCCGCCGGUGUUGUUGUGAGAAGUUCAUUAAACCUUAUCAUUUAGAGGAAGGAGAAGUCGUAACAAGGUUUCCGUAGGUGAACCUGCGGAAGGAUCAUUG